GUGCCAGCAGCCGCGGUAAUACAGAGGGUGCAAGCGUUGCUCGGAAUUAUUGGGCGUAAAGGGUAGGUAGGUGGUCUGAUUUGUCUGUUGGUGAAAUCCCGGGGCUUAACUCCGGAAGUGCCACAGAAACGGUCAGACUUGGAGUACUGGAGAGGUGAGCGGAAUUCCCGGUGUAGCGGUGAAAUGCGUAGAGAUCGGGAGGAACACCAGAGGCGAAGGCGGCUCACUGGACAGUUACUGACACUCAACUACGAAAGCGUGGGGAGCAAACAGGAUUAGAUACCCGCGUAGUCC
rnacentral:rRNA from 1 species